rnacentral:rRNA from 1 species
GGUGAACGCUGGCGGCGUGCCUAACACAUGCAAGUCGAACGACCGCACAAUAAGCUUGUUUUUUUACUUUUAGCGGGUGGCGGGUGGGUGAAGCAUGGAUAAGAUUCCUAUAUUUCGGGGAGGAUUUCGUGAAACCGGUGCUGAUAACGGAUCAUACUUUCAACCGCAUGGUUCAAGAGUUCAUGACGGCUUUCCCGUCACUUUUAGCUGGUUUCGCGCUGCAUUAGCUGGUUGGUAAGGUCACGGCUUACCAAGGCAACGAUGCAUAGCUGACCUGAGAGGAUGAUCAGCCACACUGGAACUGAGACACGGUCCAGACUCCUACGGGAGGCAGCAGUGGGGAAUAUUGCGCAAUGGGCGCAAGCCUGACGCAGCAACGCCGCGUGGGUGAAGAAGGUCUUCGGGUCGUAAAGCUCUGUUAUUGGGGAAGAACAGAUGUAGGUGAAAACGUGCACAUCUUGACGGUACCUAAAGAAAAAGCAACGGCUAACUACGUG